rnacentral:rRNA from 1 species
GACGAACGCUGGCGGCGCGCUUAACACAUGCAAGUCGAACGACGAAGCCGGAGCUUGCUCCGGUGGAUUAGUGGCGAACGGGUGAGUAACACGUGAGCAAUCUGCCCUUGACUCUGGGAUAACUGCGGGAAACUGUAGCUAAUACCGGAUACGACACCUUGGGGCAUCCCAGUGUGUGGAAAGAAUUUCGGUCAAGGAUGAGCUCGCGGCCUAUCAGCUAGUUGGUGAGGUAAUGGCUCACCAAGGCGACGACGGGUAGCCGGCCUGAGAGGGUGACCGGCCACACUGGAACUGAGACACGGUCCAGACUCCUACGGGAGGCAGCAGUGGGGAAUAUUGCACAAUGGGCGAAAGCCUGAUGCAGCAACGCCGCGUGAGGGAUGAAGGCCUUCGGGUUGUAAACCUCUUUUAGCAGGAAAGAAGCGAAAGUGACGGUACCUGCAGAAAAAGCACCGGCUAACUACGUGCCAGCCGCCGCGGUAA